ACCUUCUUACUUAAGCUCUGUACUAAAAUUGCAGAAACUAGUAUCAUGCCUUCAUAUUUGUAAAAAGCCAGCAAAGUAAACACAAGAAGAAAAUAACUAUACCAGAUAGUAGAAAAACUGAGAUGAACCUCUUUCUUAAGUCCAGCAUACUUUGUUCUAAGAUUUGGGAUGAUAAUA